AAAGGUGUACAUAUUUGUAGUUUAAUCUGAUUACAUGCCACUUAUCAUGCUUAGGCCCGCAGCUGAUUACCUUUUCCCCGAUUCUUUCACGGUGCAGAUUCAUAUGUAAACUGAAUGCUAAAAGAGAGGACUGCCCCCAUCGCACUCACUUGGCUGCUGGAGCAGGGUUGCAAGCUCAAUGUUUACUUGAGGGCGAAUUUAUCAGAGACAAGGCAUUGGGAGUUCAUUUACUGUUGAUUUGCAUCUAUGGAGUUGGGUAGUUGCUGAACGCCCUUGCAAGAUUGUAUGAGUCGGUGUUACCAUCAUUGAUCUAGGAGUUUGUCCCUUUCUUGAAGCUGCGGCGGACUUCACUAGACAGUUCACAUAAAGAAAGUUCUUCGUGCAAGAAUGCCAUCGAACACUUUCAUCCUGAUGGGAAAAAGGGAGAUGAGUAAGUGUAUGCGUAUUGAUGAUAAAUAGCUGUUUCAUAGCUACUGCUGCGUUCAGUUUAUUUGUGUAUCACUCCUCAAAAAUGAUCAAGCUGCAUAUCCAGAUUAUGGGCUUUGUAAGCUUUUUGUCCUGAUGUGAUGUCAUUAUCGCUGAUGGCAAUCCCUGUACGCAGACAAGUAAUAUUGUGUAACGGGAGUUGUUAACAAGCCUUUAGAGUGAUAUGCUGCCCAUGUUUCUGGCUACCACAUUCUGCAGAUCUCUACCGAUGGAAUAAACUGUGUGCAUACAUGUUUAGCAUGUUUGGCCUAUAGCAUA